AUGUAAGCCAAUCUAUAUUUAAGUAGGGGAAAUUACUCUUUAGAAAAUAAAUCUAAAAUAGUUUUCCCUAAUUAAGCAUCUUGU
rnacentral:pre_miRNA from 1 species